rnacentral:misc_RNA from 1 species
CUGAGUUUUCAACUCUCCAAACCAUGUGAACUUACCACUGUUGCCUCGGUGGACUGGUGCCUUCUCUCGGGAAGGUGCUGCCGCCGGCGGACUACUAAACUCUUGUUAAUUUUUGGCAUUCUGAAUCAUAACUAAGAAAUAAGUUA